UCCCUGGUGGUCCAGUGGUUAGGACUCAGCACUUUCACUGCUGAGGGCCUGGGUUCAAUCCCUGGUCAGGGAA